rnacentral:rRNA from 1 species
CCGCACAAGCGGUGGAGCAUGUGGUUUAAUUCGAUGCAACGCGAAGAACCUUACCAGGUCUUGACAUCCUCUGAAAACCCUAGAGAUAGGGCUUCUCCUUCGGGAGCAGAGUGACAGGUGGUGCAUGGUUGUCGUCAGCUCGUGUCGUGAGAUGUUGGGUUAAGUCCCGCAACGAGCGCAACCCUUGAUCUUAGUUGCCAUCAUUAAGUUGGGCACUCUAAGGUGACUGCCGGUGACAAACCGGAGGAAGGUGGGGAUGACGUCAAAUCAUCAUGCCCCUUAUGACCUGGGCUACACACGUGCUACAAUGGACGGUACAAAGAGCUGCAAGACCGCGAGGUGGAGCUAAUCUCAUAAAACCGUUCUCAGUUCGGAUUGUAGGCUGCAACUCGCCUACAUGAAGCUGGAAUCGCUAGUAAUCGCGGAUCAGCAUGCCGCGGUGAAUACGUUCCCGGGCCUUGUACACACCGCCCGUCACACCACGAGAGUUUGUAACACCCGAAGUCGGUGGGGUAACCUUUUUGGAGCCAGCCGCCUAAGGUGGGACAGAUGAUUGGGGUGAAGUCGUAACAAGGUAGCCGUAUCGGAAGGUGCGGCUG